ACUUUGGUUAAGGGAAGAAUUUUUUUUUUUCAUUGAGUGAGUGUUUUUCUUUCUUUUACCGCAAACAUUACUUGCUUCUAACCUUUUUUCUUAACUUGUUUGUGUUUCUUGUUUGCUUAUUGUGAUGACUCAUUUUUCAAGUGGUGCAUCUUCCAAACCACAAUCCUAUCACAAAGGCCACCUUUUGGGAGAACUUGUGGAGGUCCAAAAAAAACAUGUCCACAAAGAAGAAAACUUAGCAAAUUUGCCAAAAGAUUGCAAAGACUAGAAGAAGCUCAUGCAAGGCAAAAUCCACAAGAAGAGGACGAAUGGAGAUUGCACACUUUUGCCAAACAACACCAUCAACACCAACCACAACAACAACAUUCUUUUAAUUUUGUAAAGUUACCUAGUUUUAGUGGGUCAAAUGACCCUUCUUUGUAUUUAGCAUGAGAAGCUAAGGUUGAACAUCUUUUUAAUGUGUAUAAGGUCACUGAGGACCAAAAGGUUAGGUUAGCUUCCUUAGUUUUUUUA
rnacentral:lncRNA from 1 species